rnacentral:rRNA from 1 species
CGCGUAGGCGGCUGCGCAAGUCGAACGUGAAAUCCCUCGGCUCAACCGAGGAACUGCGUCCGAUACUGCGUGGCUCGAGUCCCGGAGAGGGUAGCGGAAUUCCCAGUGUAGCGGUGAAAUGCGUAGAUAUUGGGAGGAACACCAGUGGCGAAGGCGGCUACCUGGACGGGUACUGACGCUGAGGCGCGAAAGCUAGGGGAGCAAACA